rnacentral:rRNA from 1 species
CCUACGGGAGGCAGCAGUGGGGAAUUUUGGACAAUGGGCGAAAGCCUGAUCCAGCAAUGCCGCGUGUGGGAAGAAGGCCUUCGGGUUGUAAACCACUUUUGUACGGAACGAAACGGUUCGCUUUAAUACAGUGGGCUAAUGACGGUACCGUAAGAAUAAGCACCGGCUAACUACGUGCCAGCAGCCGCGGUAAUACGUAGGGUGCGAGCGUUAAUCGGAAUUACUGGGCGUAAAGCGUGCGCAGGCGGUUAUAUAAGACAGUUGUGAAAUCCCCGGGCUCAACCUGGGAAUUGCAUCUGUGACUGUAUAGCUAGAGUACGGUAGAGGGGGAUGGAAUUCCGCGUGUAGCAGUGAAAUGCGUAGAUAUGCGGAGGAACACCGAUGGCGAAGGCAAUCCCCUGGACCUGUACUGACGCUCAUGCACGAAAGCGUGGGGAGCAAACAGGAUUAGAUACCCUGGUAGUCCACGCCCUAAACGGUGUCAACUGGUUGUUGGGUGCAUUAGUACUCAGUAACGAAGCUAACGCGUGAAGUUGACCGCCGNGGAGGUACGGCCGCGAGUAGUAACGUACAANAGAGUAGACGGCGNGAGACGUGCCGACGACGACGACGAGGGAGGUUAGG